UAGAGUUUUGAUCUGGCUCAGAUUGAACGCUGGCGGCAGGCCUAACACAUGCAAGUCGAACGGUAACAUUUCUAGCUUGCUAGAAGAUGACGAGUGGCGGACGGGUGAGUAAUGCUUGGGAACUUGCCUUUGCGAGGGGGAUAACAGUUGGAAACGACUGCUAAUACCGCAUAAUGUCUUCGGACCAAACGGGGCUUUUAGCUCCGGCGCAAAGAGAGGCCCAAGUGAGAUUAGCUAGUUGGUAAGGUAACGGCUUACCAAGGCGACGAUCUCUAGCUGUUCUGAGAGGAAGAUCAGCCACACUGGGACUGAGACACGGCCCAGACUCCUACGGGAGGCAGCAGUGGGGAAUAUUGCACAAUGGGGGAAACCCUGAUGCAGCCAUGCCGCGUGUGUGAAGAAGGCCUUCGGGUUGUAAAGCACUUUCAGUUGUGAGGAAAAGUUAGUAGUUAAUACCUGCUAGCCGUGACGUUAACAACAGAAGAAGCACCGGCUAACUCCGUGCCAGCAGCCGCGGUAAUACGGAGGGUGCGAGCGUUAAUCGGAAUUACUGGGCGUAAAGCGCACGCAGGCGGUUUGUUAAGCUAGAUGUGAAAGCCCCGGGCUCAACCUGGGAUGGUCAUUUAGAACUGGCAGACUAGAGUCUUGGAGAGGGGAGUGGAAUUCCAGGUGUAGCGGUGAAAUGCGUAGAUAUCUGGAGGAACAUCAGUGGCGAAGGCGACUCCCUGGCCAAAGACUGACGCUCAUUGCGAAAAGUGUGAGGGCC
rnacentral:rRNA from 1 species